rnacentral:rRNA from 1 species
AUGAGUAUGGUGGAACCCAACAUCCAUUCAACCUCUAAAUUGGGGCUCCAUGGCUACCAACCGAUGGAGCAAGACUGGAGACCACCCUCUCCUCCUCCAAUUUGGAGCUCCAUGGCCGCCAUUCAACAGGCGCACUGCCAUCGUUGCCUCCUCACCGCCUCACCUGGGAGAGCACAGGCGCCAACAUCGCCCAUGACCCGCCGCAUGUUCGAUCAACAAACUGUAGUUCAAUUAGGUCUGUUGCUCCUCUUACAUGCAGAGCCUGGGAAGAUCAUGGUCUUCUCUCAUUCUCUUGUGAACAAUAUAUACAUUGUAGGUGUGCGAGAAGAAAUAUUGUAUUGCUUGGAAAAAGAUAUGCGAAAUUAG